rnacentral:lncRNA from 1 species
UGGGAUUCUAGGCUUGUACCACCAGACUUUUCCAGAGUCCAUGAUUCGUUUGACCCAUUAGAGUUUCACAGAGGGACUUCAGGGCUGCAACAGUAGAUGAGUGGGACUUUAAAAACAGGGACAAUGGAUACACACACACACACACACACCUGCUUCAUGUUGUCUAGACUCCCUCCCCACAUACCUGCUUCAUGUUGUCUAGACACACACACACCCCUGCUUCAUGUUGUCUAGACUCUCUCUCUCUCUCUCUCACACACACACACACACACACACACACACACACACACACACACACACAUGCUUCACGUUGUCUAGACACCCCUGUCACCCCCCACAUCUGCAAAUUUUAUCUGGGCAAGAAAAAAAUGGCCUCAGUUCAGCAUCUAAGCAGUUUUGUAACUAUAAGUAGGUCAUCAGGUCUGAGGCACUUCAGUUUCUUCCUCCUUCUCCCCCUCUCCUUCCUCCCCCUCUUCCUGCUCCUCCUCCUCUUCCUCUCCUCCUCCUCCUUUUUUAAAAAAGAUUUAUUU